rnacentral:rRNA from 1 species
AGUGAACGCUGGCGGUAGGCCUAACACAUGCAAGUCGAACGGCAGCACAGUAAGAGCUUGCUCUUACGGGUGGCGAGUGGCGGACGGGUGAGGAAUACAUCGGAAUCUACUUUUUCGUGGGGGAUAACGUAGGGAAACUUACGCUAAUACCGCAUACGACCUACGGGUGAAAGCAGGGGAUCUUCGGACCUUGCGCGAUUGAAUGAGCCGAUGUCGGAUUAGCUAGUUGGCGGGGUAAAGGCCCACCAAGGCGUCGAUCCGUAGCUGGUCUGAGAGGAUGAUCAGCCACACGGGAACUGAGACACGGUCCAGACUCCUACGGGAGGCAGCGGUGGGGAUUAUUGGACAAUGGGCGCAAGCCUGAUCCAGCCAUACCGCGGGGGUGAAGAAGGCCUUCGGGUUGUAAAGCCCUUUUGUUGGGAAAGAAAAGCAGCAGGUUAAAACCCCGCUGUUCUGACGGUACCCAAAGAAUAAGCACCGGCUAACUUCGU